UUCGGUGACGGGUAUUCUUGGGUGGAUAAUACAGAUCACGUUGUUAUUGCUUAAGAAUACGCGUAGUCGAG
rfam:Oreochromis niloticus linkage group LG16-21, whole genome shotgun sequence.